CCCUUAGAGUUUGAUCCUGGCUCAGGAUGAACGCUGGCGGCGUGCCUAACACAUGCAAGUCGAACGGACUUUUCAUGAAGCCUAGCGAUUGAAAAGUUAGUGGCGGACGGGUGAGUAACGCGUGGGUAACCUGCCUUGUACUGGGGGACAACAGUUGGAAACGACUGCUAAUACCGCAUAAGCGCACAGCUUCGCAUGAAGCAGUGUGAAAAACUCCGGUGGUACAAGAUGGACCCGCGUCUGAUUAGCUGGUUGGCGGGGUAACGGCCUACCAAGGCGAUGAUCAGUAGCCGGUCUGAGAGGAUGAACGGCCACAUUGGGACUGAGACACGGCCCAGACUCCUACGGGAGGCAGCAGUGGGGAAUCUUCCGCAAUGGGCGAAAGCCUGACGGAGCAAUGCCGCGUGAGUGAUGAAGGAAUUCGUUCCGUAAAGCUCUUUUGUUUAUGACGAAUGUGCAGAUUGUGAA
rnacentral:rRNA from 1 species